GAGAAAUAGCUACCACUUCUACGGAGGGCAGCAGGCGCGCAAAUUGCCCAAUGUCAAAAAAAAACGAUGAGGCAGCGAAAAGAAAUAGAGCCGGCAGUGCCACUGGCAUUGCCGUUUUCAAUGGGGGAUAUUUAAACCCAUCCAAAAUCGAGUAUCAAUUGGAGGACAAGUCUGGUGCCAGCACCCGCGGUAAUUCCAGCUCCAAAAGCGUAUAUUAAUGCUGUUGCUGUUAAAGGGUU
rnacentral:rRNA from 1 species